AGGGGCGGACCCAGAACUAAAAUGACCCGGUGUCCAGGUGUACGCUAUACACGAUGGAUACCGAACAUUACUAUACAUAAAAAUAACAUUCGCAUAUCUCUUUAGGAUAUACUACCUCCGUUCCUAUAUAUAAGACUUAUUGGUAGUUUAACUUGAACUACCAAAACGUCUUAUAUUUAAGAAUGGAGGGUUAAACUACCAAUAAGUCUUAUAUUUAGGAACAGAUGGAGUAUAAGUGUGCGUGAAUCUGGGCAUCUGUGAAUCUACUAUGUUUCUCAAAAAUAACUUAAAGUGUCAGUAAAUAUGAUUACUGAAAUAAAGUUUUUCCCUUGAAAUAUUUGUUGAUUAUGUAAAAAUGGACAUUAAAAUAUCAGAAUACUAAACGACAAAAACAAAUUUUCUUGGCAACAUACAACAAUAUAUCUUGACUGUGUACGAUAACAGAACUAGAAUUGUGUUUUACUCCCCACCGUGCGCGGUCAACAAAUAAUCCAAAUAGAUGUGAAACCCUAAGAGAAAUAAGAAAACCGUGGCAAUCCAAUUUCAACUGUAAUACCUUAAAUCUAAAAUCCCUAGAAAUACAGUUGAGAAAAAAAUAAAUAGAUUAACAUGUGAGAGAUUGACAACGUUACCAAGUGGGGAGUAAUUUUGCGAUCUGCAAGUGCCCGAAGUGUGGGUGGCCGCGAGAGUAGGGCCGGCUGGCAGAGCGAUGAAGCAUCAACGACGACUGGCCGAGAACGGGAUGCCAGCUUGCUGUGAUUAAACAGAGGAGAAGAUUGAUCCAAUCGAUCAUACACCUUGUUUUAGGUGAAAAUGGAUAAUAGAGCUAGAUCUGGCUACCUACUGCUAGUUGGGCCGCGCUUGGUUUAUCUCGUUGCUUGGCUUGCUAGCUUCGGUCCGGUCCAGCCAUUGUCCAGCUCUGGAAUUAACCGGUGUCCUAGCCUAAAUAUACAGGGCUAUACAGGGUAAGCAUAAAUUUUACCCGGUGUCCUGUGACACCGGUUGUGGCAACGUGGGUUUUUCACCGGAAGGCAGACGGAGGGAGGAGGCAUUCUAUCUGUCUUUAGAUGGCAAUGCGCAGAUCGAGGAGUUGUUGGAGCGCGACCGCAUGGUGGAGGAGCAGGACUUGUUGGAGCGCGACCGCCUGGCGGAGGAGCAGCGUAUCGCCGAUUUGUGCCGCCAGCGGGACAUGGAGCAGCAGCGCACCGACGCUCUAAGUCGCGAGAAGAGCGCCCGCAACUGGGCCGACUACAUGGAGGCCGGCGCCCGGCAAAUAGCCCUGGAGGAUGUCGGGCACGCACACGUUCGCGACGCCGAUUUUUACUAUCAGCUCGUCAAGUGGGUUUCCCGCUUGGAAGCCGAAGCUUCGGUGGACCACGCCGGCAUGGAAAGGGCCAACUCGCGUGAUCAACGUGCCCUAUCGCACACCUGGCAAGUCCGAGGCGAGGCGCAGGACGCCGGUGCCGGCGUUUAGCGUGUACCACAGAUGGCGGCCGACAUCGUCUAGUUAGCUAAGAGUAAGUUAAUACUUGUCUAGUUGGAGUAGAUAGUUAACUUGGCUAUGAUUAGGGGCGGACCCAGAACCAAAAUGACCCGGUGUCAUGGUGUACGCUAUACACGAUGGAUACCAAACAUUACUAUACAUAAAAAUAACAUUCACAUAUCUCUUUAGGAUAUACUACCUCCGUUCCUAUAUAUAAGACUUAUUGGUAGUUUAAUUUGAACUACCAAAACGUCUUAUAUUUAAGAAUGGAGGGUUAAACUACCAAUAAGUCUUAUAUUU
rnacentral:lncRNA from 1 species